AGCGGUGGCUAUAGCGAGGGGGAUCACCUCUUCCCAUUCCGAACAGAGUCGUUAAGCCCUUCUGCGCUGAUGGUACUGCAACUGCGGGAGAGUAAGUCGCUGCCGAAC
rnacentral:rRNA from 1 species